ACGGAGGAUCCAAGCGUUAUCCGGAAUCAUUGGGUUUAAAGGGUCCGUAGGCGGUUUGGUAAGUCAGUGGUGAAAGCCCAUCGCUUAACGAUGGAACGGCCAUUGAUACUGCCAGACUUGAAUUACUGGGAAGUAACUAGAAUAUGUAGUGUAGCGGUGAAAUGCUUAGAUAUUACAUGGAAUACCAAUUGCGAAGGCAGGUUACUACCAGUGGAUUGACGCUGAUGGACGAAAGCGUGGGGAGCGAACAGGAUUAGAUACCCUGGUAGUCCACGCCGUAAACGAUGGAUACUAGCUGUUGGGAGUAAUCUCAGUGGCUAAGCGAAAGUGAUAAGUAUCCCACCUGGGGAGUACGUUCGCAAGAAUG
rnacentral:rRNA from 1 species